rnacentral:lncRNA from 1 species
GGGAACAGCACAGACGGCGUGGAGGCCUCCCCGGUGCAAACUCCGGCAGCCCCUACCACAUCCACCAAGCCCCCCCGAGAACAGUCAGUGGACGGCCCAGGUGCCGCGUGCCGGGACGACGAGCGCGGGCAGCAGAGAUGGCCCAGGUGGCAACAGAGAUGGCCCAGGUGGCAACAGAGACGGCCCAGGUGGCAACAGAGACGGCCCAGGUUCCGUGUGCCGGGGUUGGGAUUGCGGGCAACAGAGACGGGGCAGGUGCUGUGUGCCGGGGACAAGGCACAUGGGCAACAGAGACGGCCCAGGUGCCGUGUGCAGGGGGCAAGGCACGCGGGCAACAGAGACGGGGCAGACACAGGCUCCAAGCGCCAGCCCUGCCAUCCGCCAGCUCCUGGGCCUUGGCAAAGACGGCAGCACCACCUUAGCCCGGGAGCCAGAAACACAGAAUGUGACGCUCACGUACACAGAGAAGGCCAAGGUCACAGCACGAGAGGUGUCAAGGGAGGAGCAUGAGAGAUUAUCAAGAGAAGAAAAAGGGAGCUCGGAGCUCCGUAAGGUAGUGAGACGGAGUUCACCAGGGGACAGGAAAGCCAUGUAAUUAGGGUGAAGACACAGCGUUGAUAUGAACACUUUGAAAACUAGCAGGUUCGAGGCGGGGGGGAAGCGAGUUACAGAAGAGGAGCCGUGGUGAGGGCAGGGAGAGAGUGGCAGCAGCAGAUCAAACCCCGGAGCCCCUGCCCUGGGUGGGUGCCAGCUUCCCUGAGACAUUCCGUGCCUGUGACAUUGCUGUGUGCAGAGAUGAACGAGACGGGAAAAGCCACUGCACCCUGAAGAACUACAAUAUGGUGGGGGUGGCAGAUGCCAAUCAAUGACACAGAUACCUAUUUAACUAA